rnacentral:rRNA from 1 species
UACGUAGGGGGCAAGCGUUGUCCGGAAUUAUUGGGCGUAAAGAGCGUGUAGGCGGUCCGGUAAGUCAGCUGUGAAAGUCAAGGGCUCAACCCUUGAAAGCCGGUUGAUACUGUCGGGCUAGAGUCCGGAAGAGGCGAGUGGAAUUCCCGGUGUAUCGGUGAAAUGCGCAGAUAUCGGGAGGAACACCAAUGGCGAAGGCAGCUCGCUGGGACGGUACUGACGCUGAGGCACGAAAGCUAGGGUAGCAAACGGG